ACACAAUACGUCAGAGAAAUGGUAGGAUCCACUCCAGGAUUAACAUUUGGGAAAACUGCUGCUCCAGUUUGUCGUAACAGACGACAACAAGUCACACUUAAUCGCAACUGAAUGCCAAAUCCAGUCAUGAAUUUUUCAGUGGAGCAAUAUCCUGUAGCUUUUUCUCUGCUACGCAUGUAAAAGGACAAGAAGCCACAUCUUGACACAGGACAGCGUCAACAUGCUGAAAAGUGUCUUUGCUAAAGGACGACAAUGGCAGGGAAAGGUCUUUGGGAAACGUGCAGACAGCAGAAGAGCAUGUAGCUGUUCACGCCGUCGCUGUCUCUUCAUCAUUCUGGUGUUGGGAGCAGUUUUGUUUUUUUACAACACUGACAUAAAGGAGAUGGCGCCUGACUGCAAUCCAAACUGCUUGACACGAUAUAAUGCAACAAAAUGGUGGCUUGCAUUUAGAAGACAGGAACAAAAUGCUUUCUCUCCCCACGUAACUGAUUCCAGCAUCAGAAAAGCUGAGACCAGCUUGGCUGUCUUCCCUCAUACUGAGACCAUGAUGUCAACAAACCUCAAAGACACAACUCAAACAUCACAUCAGAUUAGCAACGCUUCAGCGGCGGUACGACAGAAACCUGCAUUACGACCAGCACCGUCACCGGUUCCUUAUAAAUCUCCACGACCGUACUUAGUGGAAUACCCCUAUGACUACCACUUCAUUAUCAAUGAGCCACAGAAAUGUGAACAGCAGAAGCCUUUCCUGGUUCUGAUGGUCCCUGUGGCGCCUCACAACAGGAAGGAUCGUGACAUUGUCCGCAGCACCUGGGGAGGUGAAAGCCCAGUACUGGACAAAGUGGUGAUGCUGUUCUUCCUCCUGGGGCUUCACACUGGAGAGGGAGCGGAGCAGCUCCAAGACCAGCUGCUGCAGGAGAGCAAAGAACAUCAAGACCUGAUCCAGAGCGACUUCCUGGACUGCUACAAGAACCUGACCAUCAAGACCAUGGUGAUGCUGGAGUGGCUGGACUUCCACUGCUCCAGCGCCUCUUAUGCCAUGAAGAUCGAUUCAGACACGUUUCUAAAUGUUCCCAAUCUCAUCACCAUGUUGUUAAAUGCUCCAAAGACAAACUACAUGACCGGACUUGUGGAGAGAGGAGCUGUAGUGCACAGAGAUCCAAGUUCUAAGUGGUAUGUACCUGUGGAGCUUUACCCUCACCCACAGUAUCCACGUUACGCUUUGGGUCUGGGUUACGUUUUGUCUCUCGAUCUCCCUAAAAAGCUGGUGGAGGCGUCCAGACACGUUAAACCUCUUUACCUUGAAGAUGUUUAUUUAGGGUUGUGUAUGCAGCACUUGGGGAUCCCCCCCACUGACCCCCCAAAGUGGGGUUACUUUAAUGUCUUUCCUGUGGAGUACAGUCGCUGUGCUUACUCCAGACUUAUAGCCACAACCACACAUGAAAACUCUGAUCGUUUGAGUGACUGGAAAGACUUUAAGAAGCCAGGCUCAUACUGCUGAUCAGCUAAAGAAGGACUGAGAGCAAAAUAUUGACACUUUGUGUCGUUACCUUUCUCUACUCUCUAUCACGUGAUACCACAAAUUUUGUCACACCUGCCCAUAGCAGAAUGAGGAAGUCUAAAAUCUGCACUCCAUCAUUAACUGCGGAGGUGGAGAAGUAAAAGACACAAUCAGAUAUUUUGUAAAUGUAGGUUAAUCAGUUGGCCUAGAGGUAAAUAAACCGGGCAUGGCAGGAGCAUGAUACAUCACUGAGGAAUACCUGCCAUUUAAACAACAACGAGUAUGUGGCACAGUCCCAUUCAGGUUUCACCACAGGUCUUUAGAGUGUUUGACACUUAGCACUGGCCAUUAGAGCAGCGUUUCUCCCCAUCUCCCACAACAGACGGGCUAAGACGUGUCACAGAAUUCAGGGAAGGUUUUCAUUGUUCUGCUUGACAAGAACGGCUGCAGAAAAUGGUUCAAAUACUUUGUCAUGAUUAUACCUGAAUGGGGCCUUUUUCUCACACUCUUAACUCCAGUCACAGGUGUGCUGAUCUGGGCUUCGUACUGGAGAAACAGUACUUCAGCUCCUCCAAGCUGAGAAGAAGAGGUUAAAUCACUUGUCAUGUGAAGAACGGCUUUAUUGCCAGACCAACAUGUUUGGUCUUGCGUCCUCGCUGCUACUCACACAUUAUCAGAAAUUGUUCCAGAGUCACACAUGUAAUGCUGGGUGUAAAUGUUCGUGCUGGGGGAAAUUACAGACUAGUUUUAGGUGAAAUGGAGGCUUUCCACCAAAUGUUUGCGAAGAUAUUUUGGCUACAGAUCACCACUUCAAAAUAAAAUCCACUUCAAAAUAAAAUCCCCAUAUCUGUAACCCUUUAUGAUCGGGACGCUAAACACACGCUUAAAUAACGACUUGUUACAGAAAAAGUAAUCACAUCACUUCACAUUACGAUUAUUAAUCGCAGUAACACUUUGUUGCUUGGACGUUUUGUCAGAAGGACAUGGAAAAACUCUAACUAACUGCUGUUGUCAAAGUAUAUACGGAAGCCCUUACAGACUCUUUUAACCAUGCCCAUCAGAAACAAAGACAAGAGGACUAUCAAACCUGUUUCCCAGGUUGAAUCGAAGCUGAGGCAGACUGCCAAGUGACGUGAAUAGAAGUCAGAAUGAAGUCUUGUCACCCAACUGACAACAGAUCAUCAGAGAACCGGUUUGAUAAAAUCAGGUUUAUAUUUCUGCAACAACUGUUUGAGUUCAGCUCUCUGCUUGAUCAGCUGCAUCAGUCUGAUAUUCCUUUUCUACGAGAAAGGUGACAAAACAUUCAUUUCCUGAUGAUCCUUGAACUGAUCUCAUAAACUCAUGUUUCUCAGGCUUCAUUUGUUUUUCAAGUUGAAUUCAUCAGUUAAAUCAUGACUUGUCCAUUUGAGUGUAUGUUUGACACCCGUGUUAUGAAGAGUUAACUAUUAUAUUUUUGUAUAUUUUUCACUUACACGGGCAGUUUUUACAUGACGUGAAAACCCUCUGCAAGCUGUGUCUUAUUAGAAAUUAACAAAGGGGUCUUUCGUCCAUGUGGUACAAAUGGUAUUUGUCUCGUCUCGUCUUGUAUCCAUGUUGUAAUGUCUAAAGCACUUUAUAACACUGAUAAGAAAGGUGCCGUAUAUAUUCAGUUUAUUUUUUUAUGACUAAAGAUGAAGGCUGAAUAUAAGAGGAUUAACUUUUAAUAAUCUUAAUCAGGCAUUCAAGAUAAAAUAACUUCCAACACACAGUGUUUUUACAUCAUACCUGUCAACAGAUAUUUGUUGUAAACUGUUGUAUCCUGGAAUUUGAAACACUCAGACCUUCUGCAUUUUGUGAUCACAACUGAUGCCACAGAAAUCAGUUCAUCUCGUGUAUCAAAAUCAUGAAAAUUAAUUUUUCUUGCUCUUAUUAGCUGAUUUUCCAGACAAUUUGUAAUGAAUGAGACAAAUAUAAUAAUGAAAGCUUCGGUGCUGUGAAGAGAAUGUGCUGAGUGUCCCAUGUCUUUCCUCCUUUUGUCAUGCAGAGACACCAUGUGGACGUUUUGUACACUGUGACUGAAUAAUGUCACAAAACCUCACAGUGUUUUGUUUAGGUAUUCACAGGGCUUAAUUUGAUUCUGCCAGAACAGUAUCCGGAGCCAACCAGAAAAAGCAUUGACACCUAUUUCCUUAAACGCUGCACCUCCUUUUAUGUCAAUAUAUUGAUAUAAACAUACAAAUAAUAUUGGUACGUCACAACAGAUGGACAUGCACCGUUGUCAGAAAUGUAAUCAUUAUGUAUUUGUUGUGGGCAAUUUAGAUUUACGUACACUUGUGUGUAUAACUGUGGCUGUGUGGUUGGUGAGGCACUAUGGUUGCUAUGGGUUACCUGCACACCUGGGCAUAGGUGGUAAUCAGUCAUAGGUUAGAUAAGGGAGACACAGCUGAUCAGCCUCAGGGGAAUGAGGAUCAGAGGAAGCCAAACUUCAACUGUGCCUGUGUGUGUGAAGUAGGAAAUGGUUUUUGUGUCACAAGUUUAGUAUUUUUGUCAUUUUGUACGCGCUCGUGUUAAGUCUUUUGGCACCCGGCCUUUUGUAGGUGGUUUUUUUUUUUUAAGAUUUACAAGUUAAUAAAGUGUUGAACGCA